UUGAAUGGAGUAUAUUAUUAGAGAGAAUGAAUCAUGCAUGUUCAGGAGGAUAUUUGCAGAAUAUAGAAUGGAACAUGUGGUUUGUUAGAAUAGGACUCAAGAUAAAAUGCAGUGCAAAGAAUAUUCUCUAUAAAAUGUUCUGAAUGGUCUCAUUUAACCAGUAGUAUAAACAAUGUAAACAAACAAAAAAUUAGCCAAUCAAGAACUAUAUAUAGAGUAUCAUCGUUUAGUGCACCCAGGACAUAGCAGGGACGGAUAGGCGCCAAACAUAGUGAAAUCAAUGGUAUUAGUCACGCCCUGUCUGCAAUUAGCGAAUCAAUCACUUCGACAUCCUCCAAUGAACCAAGGGGUGAUCAAUUGUGGGUGAUCUAUGGCUUUUUC
rnacentral:lncRNA from 1 species